rnacentral:lncRNA from 1 species
UGUGACUGCGACUGCGGCAGUUGCAGCUGGGAAAGAAAAGAAAGGAAAGGGGAAAAAGGGGCUGCGGACGGGAUUGCGGCCGCAGUGGCAGCGACUGCGUAUGCAGUAGUUAUGUCUGCGAGAGAAGGGAGCAAGGAAGUAGUACAGUGGAAGGGGCUGCGGUUGUGACAGCAGCUGCGGUCGUGGCUACGACUAUGGUAGUGGCAGCGGCGAUGGCUGCGACAACUGUGUUUGAAAAAGAAAACGAAGGAAUGAGAGUAAGAGAGAGCAGGUGACUAUGCCUCUAUGUUCUGCAUGAGCUGUAGUUGUGGAGGAAAAAGAAAAGACAUGUAGAAAACGAAACAGAGAGAGAGGACACGGAGGAAAAGUACAAGGAUUUGGGCUGGCACACUCUUUGGAUCUUCGUAUCGAAAUCUUUGAAAGCCAAGUUUCCUGAUCGUUUCUCCUGUAAUUGUUCUAAUCUUUCCUAUUGCAAGUAUCCUGAUCUUUCCUCACUGCAAUUUUAUCUCUACAUUUGCUUUGAAUAUUAGGAACUUUGAAUUGUUCUAGCCUUGCACUUGAUAUAUCUCCUGUUUAGACGUAACGAUUCGAAUCUGUGCAACUUCCAAGAUUCUGACCUUUCUACCUUGUUAUGAUUAUAACUUCAUGUAUUGACAUCUGAUUUGGACAAAACUUAUUUGAUCAGAAUAUAGACUCAUAAACCUUUGUUUUGAUAGCUUAUUUUAAGAAUUCGGAGUAAGUUCGUCUGCUCAAACUUUUGUUUCAAAUGAGCCUACAGAUUCUGCAAAACAGGGAUCGUAAUUUCUGACCUUUUGAUACUGAACUGCUUAUAAGUCCUUGUUGCAAACAUUGAUUUAUUCAAAACUUAUUUCAUUGGAAACUAGACUCAUAGAUCUUUCUUUUGAUAUAUGGAUUGAAAGAUUUGGAAUUCAAACACCUGCCUAGUUAUCUGUUGAAUCUGACAUUAUGAAUUCUGCCAAAUAGAGAUUUUGUUCUACGACCCUUGUUUACCAAAUUAUUUGUAACUCUCUCUAUUGGGCAGUUCAAUUCAUAUGAAGCCUGUCUUAUCUAAAAGUGUAAUCCAAUGAUAUAUUUCUGAGUAAAUUGGAGCACGAUUGAUAGUUUGAAUCAUUUGUUCAAUGUGCCUCUUGUAUUCUGCCAGAAAUCGAGCUUUGGUCGAUUUCUAAUAUUCUAGUUUCAUUCCUUUGGAAAUUGAUAUCCUUUAGCUUUCUUAUUCAAUUGAGCUUUAUAUUACUGCUUUGAAUUCUUGUAUACUCUUGUCCUUAAAGUUAUUUGCAUUCUUGAAAACUAUUGUGUAACGUUUAUGCUAUAUCGUAUUGACUCAUUUAGGCACAUGUGUAUCUCAUUGUUCCGCAUUUGCUUUCGAUAUGUGCCUAUUCCAUUUCCUUUCAAAAUCCGAAUAUCAUUGUGAAAGAUUAUUGCUUACUUUGUAUUGACUCGUAAAGGCACAUGUACGUUUUGUUAUUCCGCGUGUGCUUCCGAUAUGUGCUACUUAUUGUUAAAACUGCCCUCUUGUACUCUGGUGUUUAUGGGAUUAUCUGGACCUUUGCCAGAAAUGGUAAAGGGUAUGUGUUUAGAGCCUACGAUGCUCUGCCGGCCCCCUCUGGCUUCACCUAGACGUGGGUGGAUGGAGCUCCCAAACGUGGGAGACUUCUAUCUGGUGGUCAUUUAGAAAUGAAUGAAUCACACUCUGUUUGAGAUCCCACUACACCUUCUAUAUAUUUGAUAUGAUAUCUAGAGCUUUGGUUAUGUGUUUCGGUACAAGCUUUGGAUAAGAAUGAUAUGAUUGCAACGUCAAAGACGACGUUUGAGCUUCUGUACGGUAUUUGUUAUUGAUAUGCUCUGAAAAGUUUCAUUCACUGUUGAUAUGCUUCGAAAUGUCCCAUAUGCCGUUGAUAUGCUCCGGAACAUUUCAUGCGCCAUUGAUAAGCUCCGAAACAUUUCAUUUGUUAUUGAUAUGCUUCGAAAUGUUCCAUACGCCAUUGAUAUGCUCCGGAACAAUUCAUAUGCCAUUGAUAAGCUCCGAUAUGUUUCAUUUGUUAUUGAUAUGCUCCAAUUACUCUAUGCUCCAUUUGUUAUGAAUCAAAUAUGUUUUGAAUGACAUGAUACAUAUGAUUUUGUAUCUAAUGAAAUGGUAUCCUUGAGAAUUCUUGUAUUCUGCCUUGCAUUAUGAUACCUUACUUAUUUGAAACCAUUCCUUUUGUUCUGAAUAUGCUUUGUCACUUGCUGAGCUGUUUUUAGCUCAUUCUGUUGUUAUAUAAAUCUUUCAGGUCAGCUUGUCACCAUUUGAGAUGUUUGAUAUGGGCUGAGGCAGUGGAUAGCUAUUCAGAAUUAUGGGC